AGAGGCCUUAGACAGCUCAAGAGCUGGGCGG
rnacentral:piRNA from 1 species